AGUGAACGCUGGCGGCGUGCUUAACACAUGCAAGUCGAACGAGAACGGGUUAUAGCUUGCUAUAAUUGUCAGCUAAGUGGCGCGCGGGUGAGUAAUGUAUAGGUAAUAUGCCUCUUACUAAGGGAUAACAAAUGGAAACGUUUGCUAAUACCUUAUACUCCUUAUUAACAGAAGUUAAUAAGGGAAAGAUUUAUUGGUAAGAGAUUAGCCUGUAUUGUAUCAGUUAGUUGGUGGGGUAAUGGCUUACCAAGACUAUGACACAUAAAUGGUUUGAGAGGAUGAUCAGUCACACUGGAACUGAGACACGGUCCAGACUCCUACGGGAGGCAGCAGUGGGGAAUAUUGCACAAUGGACGAAAGUCUGAUGCAGCAACGCCGCGUGGAGGAUGACACAUUUCGGUGCGUAAACUCCUUUUAUAUGAGAAGAUAAUGACGGUAUUAUAUGAAUAAGCACCGGCUAACUCCGUGCCAGCCGCCGCGGUAA
rnacentral:rRNA from 1 species